UCUAAGCUCACACACCUGGUUAUUAUCAGUCUCAGGAAAUCAACUUUCAAUCUUACUCACCUGAGCCUCUGCAUAGGGGCUGACUGACAACAUGGUCGCCAGCUUCCCCAAGGGAACCAGGCAAGAGAUAGGCAGCAAAAGUUGGGGCCACCAAGAUGGAAUCUGCAGUCCUUCAUCACCCAGUCUCAGAACUGACACCAUCGCCUCCACCAGAUUGUCUUCUCUAGAACUUGUGGGAUUUUACUUCCCAACCAAGGAUCAAGUCUGUAUCCCCUGCAAUGGAAGUGUGGAGUCCUAACCGUUGGACUGCCAGCUCAGAGAUUCCCUUGGGCACCAUUUGCAUUUCUCCCUCCUGGAGCCGGAGAAGACUCUUGAGAUUCCCUUGGACUGCAAGGAGAUCCAACCAGUCAAUCCUAAAGGAAAUCAAUCCUGAAUAUUCAUUGGAAGGACCAAUGCUAAAGCUGAAGUCCCAAUACUUUGGCCACCCGACGUGAAGAGCUGACUCAUUGGAAAAGACCCUAAUGUUAGGAAAGACUGAGGGCAAGAGGAGAAGGGGGCGACAGAAGAUGAGAUGGUUGGAUGGCAUCACCGACUCAACGGACAUGAGUUUGAGCAAACUUUGGGAGAUAGUGAAGGACAGGGAAGCCUGGUGUGCUGCAGUUCAUGGGGUCGCAAACAGCUGGACUUGACUGAGUGACUGAACAACUACAACUCCUUGAGCUACAGCCUGGAAAGUGUGGAUGCGGGGUCCGGUGGCAUGCGGAACUUCCCUGACCAGGGAUCGAACUGGUGCCCCUGCACUGAAAGCCCAGGCUCUUAACCUCUGAACAGCCAGUGAAGUCCAUUUUCCUUAUCAUCUUUGACAGAAACUGUUUCCAGCCCCAUUUGUGUUCUAUGAAAGCUAAAAAAUUUUUGUAUCUAUUUAUUUAUUUGGUUGUACUGGGUCCCAGUUAUGGCAUGUGGGAUCUAGCUCCCCGACUAGGGAUCGAGCCUGGGCCCCCUAUAUUGGGAGCACGGAGUCCCAGCCACUGGACCACCAGGAAAGUCUCUAAAUUUUUGUUGCUAGUAAAAAUAAUUACUUCACAUAGGCUAAACUAUGGGUGUAAAAAUGUUCGACAACAGCAUGUGAAUUUAUGUACAUGUAAAACGCUAUACGUCUAAAUGUUUAAGAAACAAGGGUCAAAGAGCAGACUUCAAUCAAACGGACUCUUUUGGGACUCUGGUGUGCAAGGCACUAGCUCAUUUUCUCUAUUAGCCUAAGCAGGACUGUAAACACCCAGGAGAAUGAAGGUCACCAAAAUGAAGCAGAACCAGUUUGGCAGUGGGUGUGCGAUCUCACUUCACUAGAUGGACUAGGACGAAAAGAAAUAAAUCAGAAAGAGGGCUCUGAGAUCUUUUUCUUUUUUAAAACAAAUAUUUGUUCAUUUGACUGUGCCGAGUCUUAGCUGGGGCACGCAGGAUCUUCAGUCUUCAUUGUGGCACGUGGGAUCUUUAUCUGUGGCAUGUGAGAUCUAGUUCCCUGACCAGGGAUUGAACCUGGGGACCCUGCAUUGAGAGUGUUGCAUCUCAGUCACUGGACUACCAGGGAAGUCCUGGCUCUGGAAUCUUUAUGGUUUAAGAAAAUAGCUCUUUCUUUUCAGUUCAUUGUUUAAGGAAAAGUGUGUGAACUCCAGCAAUGAUGUGGACUACCUUAAGACAACUGAAUGUCAGUACAUGGGAGAAUCUUCUUUAUCAGAGACUGAGUGAACAAGCAACAUGUUGGUUUAUUUGCGUGAAGCUAUGGGAAGUUGUAUUAGUAGAUACAUUCAAAUGGUCAAGAGUUCAAACACAUGAAUUACAAGUGGGGCCAGAGAAGCCACCUGCUCAGAUGGAGAGCUGAGAUCAUAUGUCAAACCAAGGGAGAGAGUUUUUUCUUUUUCCUCCCCAUUUCUUUAACUAUUAAAGAACUCUUAAAUCUUAUUUUUAUUUUUUGUUGUAGUUGAUUUACAAUGUUGUAUUAAUUUCUGCUGUACAGCCAAGUGAUUCAGUUAUACAUGUAUAGAUAUAUUCUUUUUUAUAUUCUUUUCCAUUAUGGUUUAUCCCAGGAGGUUGGAUAUACAGUAGGACCUUGUUGUUUAUCUGUUCUAAAUGUAAUAGUCUGGGGGCUUCCCUGGUGGGCUAGUGGUUAGGACUCCACGCUUUCACUGCAGAGGGAACAGGUUCAAUCCCUGGUAGGGGAGCUAAGAUCCCUCAUGCUGCCUGCCCCUCAAAGGUAAUAGUCUGCAUCUGCUAACCCCAAACUCCCAGCCCAUCCUUCCCCGCCCCUGCCCUGCCUCCUCCCUGGCAACCACUCGUCUGUUCUCUGCGUCUGUGCAUCUGUUUCUGUUUUGUAGACAGGUUCACUUGCGCCAUGUUUUAGAUUCCACAUGUAAGUGACAUUAUAUGAUAUUUGUCUUUCUGCCUUCCUUUACUUAGUAUGAUCACCUCUAGGUCUCUCCAACUACAAAAGAACUUUCAUUUUCUAUCACAUGCUUUCUCCGUCCUAGUUAGGAUUUAAUGUCUUCUUAGAUGUACAAAAUCCUCUCUUUCCUGGCUCUGUGCAGGCCCAUGCACGUGUGCAAAGAGUAUGAGCGUGUCAAUCAAACUGAAAACCAAUGGCAAGAAAGUCCUAUGUGGCAAGAACUUUUCUGGUGAUUUUUCAAAGUAGCCAUAUUAUCUGCCUCAUUUUAUUCCGUCCGUUAAACGGCAUCUUUUCAAUUUUGCACACUGUGCAAAAUCCUCAGUGUUGCAGAGCCAUUAGAUGGCUCACUCAGACCUCACAGACCUUUCAGAAUUCUAUACAAAGCACAGAGGCUUUACCACAACCCUGGAUUUGAAUUGGAUAGCUCUGACCAUUUUAGAUUCUGCAGCUGUUAUACCAUGGAAUGAAGAUUAAAAAAAAUACCUCAUUUUAGCCAUUAGUUUCAAUCUUAUCUUUUACUUUCAAACCAAACUGGUAAGGCAGCAAAAAGAACUGUUUUACUCUCCCAGUGACCUUGCACCCAAAAGGAAUAAGUUGCAAAUAUGAUAAUAUUUUUUUUUUUUUUUCAAAAAAAGGGGGCAGAGGAAGGAAUUUCCUGGCAGUCCAGUGGUUAGGACUCGGUGUUUUCACUGCUGAGGCCUGGGUUCAAUCCAUGGCUGGGAAACUAAGAUCCUGCAAGCCAAGAGGUGUGGCCAGAAACAAACAAAUAACCACAGAAAACAUACCGGCAGCAUGUUAUUUAAAAUACAUACUAAUAUAUAUGUUUGCCUAUGGAUGGCAUCACUGACUCGAUGGACGUGAGUCUGAGUGAACUCCGGGAGUUGGUGAUGGACAGGGAGGCCUGGUGUGCUGUGAUUCAUGAAGUCGCAACGAGUUGGACACGACUGAGCAACUGAACUGAACUGAACUGAAAAGACAAAAAGGAAAGUAAAACCUGCCCACAGCACAAAGUAAAAGUUGGUCUCAAAAUCAAUGAAAAUAGAUUUUACAGGACUGUGUAAUGAAGCCCCUGUGGCCAGUGUCACAGAUCACAGAGUGGCUGCAUUUUAUGUCUCAUAUAAG
ensembl:lncRNA